rnacentral:misc_RNA from 1 species
GAUGAAGAACGCAGCGAAAUGCGAUACUUGGUGUGAAUUGCAGAAUCCCGUGAACCAUCGAGUCUUUGAACGCAAGUUGCGCCCGAAGCCAUUAGGCCGAGGGCACGCCUGCCUGGGCGUCACACGUCGUUGCCCCCCCAUCUACUCCUUCGGGAUUGCGGGGGGCGGAUGAUGGUCUCCCGUGCGCCUCGUCGCGCGGUUGGCAUAAAUGCCAAGUCCUCGGCGACACACGCCACGACAAUCGGUGGUUGCGAAACCUCGGUUGCCCGUCGUGUGCGGUCGUCGCGCAUCGAGGGCUCGAAAAAAUUGCCGGGCUCCGGCUCGGCUUUCAACGCGACCCCAGGUCAGGCGGGGUUACCCGCUGAAUUUAAGCAUAUCAAUAAGCGGAGGA